GCAGUUUCGGGGCGAGCACCCCGCACUGCACCCUCUGAGGAAGGCCCCGCGGGGUGUGGACCGCUCCUCCCAGCAGAGCUGCAGCCCCACUGCGGGGCAGAGCGGGAAGGGCGGCGGCCAUGGCGGAGGCACACUGUGCGUUCUCCCGGCGUCUCGGCUGCAGGCAGAGGUGAGACGCGUGAUCCACACGCACAGACAGUGAGUCGGAACCAAACAAAAGCGCGUGUCUCACCGGGGCCGCCGGUGUCCCCUUCGUGCAGGUGCCCUGGGGGUCAGAGGGGCACCUUCGCGGCCCCCCGACUCACCUCGUGUCGGGGGGCUGGGGCCUGGCUUUUGGGGGGUCUGUGGUUGAGGAGAGGCCUGGUGGGGGUCAGGCGAAGGGAGCCGUUAGGACGAGGCCGUGCGUGGCCCUCUCGCCGCGGGGCCAAUGGGGCGCGGCCACCCCGCGCUGGCCAGGCUCCCGGCCGCCUCUGGAGCCUGGAGAUGAGGGCAGUUCCGUCCUGCGCGGGCCCCUCCGGCCGCUUCUGCGGGAAGGGGGCUGGGCCUGCCGCCGGUUCCCUCAGCAACGGGGCCUGGCCCGGCUCCCCCGUGCGGGGCCCCGGCCGGGAAGAGGGAGCGGCGGCCUCUCCGGGCCUGACCUCCUCCGGGGCGGUGGGCGCCCCCGGGCACCCGCUUCCAGCGGGCGGUGCGACGCCUCGGGCCCUCCCUGGACGGAGGAGGCCGCAGAGCGGCCCGUGGGCGCAGCCGGGCUCGUUGUUUCCGCGCCGAAACGCGGGUGCGGCGGGGCCGGCGGGGAGGAGGCGGCAGGAGCCUGGGGUGAGCCUUCCCUCCGGUGAGGAGGCGCGGCCCCGCUGCCUGCGGCUGCCCCUGGCCUCCCGCCCCCGAGCUCGCGCUGGGCAUUUUCUGACCAGCCUGUCGAAACGACUCUUUCAGAUCAAGGGAUGACACGACCUCCUCGCCAGAUGCUCUCAGUUCGGAUCCCUUCAAGAGCUGGCAGCAAAGGCAGGUGUGAAAGGGACGAAGGGCCAGGCUCGGGGGGUCUUCCUGCUGGAGGGUUCAAGCGUUCUGGGUGUUCUGAGGUGCUUUGGGCAACUUUUUUUUUUUUUCUUUUUGCACUAAGGCGGAAAUGGAGGGCAUGUGUUGGAAAGAGGUGGUCUGGCUGGUAAGCAUGUGCGUGAAUGCCCCUGUUAACAUUUUUCAUGUGCGAAUUUACCAAUCCAGAUGGACAGAUUAAGGGCAGUUGGAACUGGUGGUGGCUCUGACCUUGUUCACAGAUGGGAAACUCACCCUUCCCCAGGCUUCUCGGCUCCCCUGAGCCAGAAUUUCUGCAGUUCUCUCUUAGACACUGCACUUCAGCCCCCGGCAAGUCAGGCAAAGCUGUGUUCACUAGCCAGUUACCUGGAGCUGGUCUGAAGGGUCCAAAUGCAGGCUCCACCAUUUUCUUCCUCUGUGACCUUGAGCAAGUCCAGCAGUCCUGGGGGCUCCAGUUUCCUCCUCUGUAAAACGGACACAAUACCUCCAUCCAUCACAAAAGCCUGAAUGAGAAAAGCAGCUGACAUUGUGCCAGGCUCAUAGGACCUGCCUGAAUACUAGCUGUUGUUGUUAUAGGGAUUCAAGUUCUGUCUUGCUCAGCUUUGGAGCUCAUCAAAGGCCAAAUAACCUGAAUGCAUUUUAUUGCUUAAAGUGUUUUGCUGUUUUAGUUGCCAAGUUGUGUCUUGCGACCCCAUGGACUGUAGCCUGCCAGGUUCCUCUGUCCGUGGGAUUUUCCAGGCAAGAAUAUGGGACUGGGUUGCCACUUCCUUCUCCGGGGAUCUUCCCGAUUCAAUCCAAGGGAUUGAACCCUUGUCUCCUGCACUGACAGGCCGAGUCUUUAUCACUGAGCCACCAGGGAAGUCUAAAACGUUUUGGGGCCCAAUUAUCAUCACUUCCCACUGACAUUUCAUUU
ensembl:lncRNA